AGAGAAUUGGCCGAGCGGUUUAAGGCGGUAGCUUUGAGUUUUACUAAGAAUUUAUUUCUUCAUGGGUUCGAAUCCCAUAUUCUCUG